UGGAAUGUGGCUUAGUGGUAGAGUGCUUGUUUAGUAUGCAUGAAGCCCUGGGUUCAAGUCCUUGGUACCAC
rnacentral:tRNA from 1 species